rnacentral:rRNA from 1 species
GACGAACGCUGGCGGCGUGCUUAACACAUGCAAGUCGAACGGAAAGGCCCUGCUUUUGUGGGGUGCUCGAGUGGCGAACGGGUGAGUAACACGUGAGUAACCUGCCCUUGACUUUGGGAUAACUUCAGGAAACUGGGGCUAAUACCGGAUAGGAGCUCCUGCUGCAUGGUGGGGGUUGGAAAGUUUCGGCGGUUGGGGAUGGACUCGCGGCUUAUCAGCUUGUUGGUGGGGUAGUGGCUUACCAAGGCUUUGACGGGUAGCCGGCCUGAGAGGGUGACCGGCCACAUUGGGACUGAGAUACGGCCCAGACUCCUACGGGAGGCAGCAGUGGGGAAUAUUGCACAAUGGGCGGAAGCCUGAAGCAGCAACGCCGCGGGCGGGAUGACGGCCUUCGGGUUGUAAACCGCUUUCGCCUGGGACGAAGCGUGAGUGACGGUAAUGGGUAAAGAAGCACCGGCUAACUACGUG